rnacentral:rRNA from 1 species
AGCGAACGCUGGCGGCAGGCUUAACACAUGCAAGUCGAACGGUCCUUCGGGAUAGUGGCGGACGGGUGAGUAACACGUGGGAACGUACCCUUAGGUUCGGAACAACACAGGGAAACUUGUGCUAAUACCGGAUAGCCCUUCGGGGGAAAGAUUUAUCGCCUUUGGAGCGGCCCGCGUCUGAUUAGCUUGUUGGUGAGGUAAUGGCUCACCAAGGCUACGAUCAGUAGCUGGUCUGAGAGGAUGGCCAGCCACACUGGGACUGAGACACGGCCCAGACUCCUACGGGAGGCAGCAGUGGGGAAUCUUGCGCAAUGGGCGAAAGCCUGACGCAGCCAUGCCGCGUGGAUGAUGAAGGUCUUAGGAUUGUAAAGCUCUUUCACCGAUGAAGAUAAUGACGGUAGUCGGAGAAGAAGCCCCGGCUAACUUCGUGCCAGCCGCCGCCGUAA